rnacentral:rRNA from 1 species
UGGCGGCAGGNCUAACACAUGCAAGUCGAGCGGAUGAAGGGAGCUUGCUCCCUGAUUUAGCGGCGGACGGGUGAGUAAUGCCUAGGAAUCUGCCUGGUAGUGGGGGAUAACGUUCCGAAAGGAACGCUAAUACCGCGUACGUCCUACGGGAGAAAGCAGGGGACCUUCGGGCCUUGCGCUAUCAGAUGAGCCUAGGUCGGAUUAGUUUGUUGGUGAGGUAAUGGCUCACCAAGACUUCGAUCAUUAGCUGGUCUGAGAGGAUGAUCAGCCAGACUGGGACUGAGAAACGGCCCAGACUCCUACGGGAGGCAGCAGUAGGGAAUUUUCCACAAUGGACGAAAGUCUGAUGGAGCAACGCCGCGUGCAGGAUGAAGGCUCUCGGGUCGUAAACUGC